AAUCCGUGUCAUGGACAUUUUCGCAAGAGAUCCUUGAAUCGCUCCCAUGUGUCAAACAAAGAUUCAAGCUCCAUCUGAACAAACGGCGAUAUCUCAUUAUGAAGCUU